rfam:Triticum aestivum genome assembly, contig: Triticum_aestivum_CS42_TGACv1_scaffold_145917_2BS
AAUAUACUCCCUUUGUCCGAAAAUACUUGUCAAAGAAAUAUAUAAUAAUGAAUGUAUCUAGAACUAAAAUAUAUUUAGAUACAUCCAUUCCUCCGACAAGUAUUUCCGGACGGAGGGAGUACUUA